rnacentral:ncRNA from 2 species
AAGAUGUAUGCUCAUGCUCGCUGUCGCCGCAGGGGAAUCCGGUGCGAAUCCGGAACUGUCCCGCAACGGUGUACUUGCGUGCAUCCGUACGUCUUCGCACGUGCGCGCACGCCUGUCCAGUCCGAGGACCUGCCGACAGUGCGCCCGGCCG